UGCGUAGGCGGCGUUAUAAGUCAGAAGUGAAAUCCCAUCGCUUAACGAUGGAACUGCUUUUGAUACUGUAAUGCUUGGAUUAGGUUGAGGUUAGCGGAAUGUGGCAUGUAGCGGUGAAAUGCUUAGAUAUGCCAUAGAACACCAAUUGCGAAGGCAGCUGGCUGGACCUAUAUUGACGCUGAGGCACGAAAGCGUGGGGAGCGAACAGGAUUAGAUACCCUGGUAGUCC
rnacentral:rRNA from 1 species